UAGUUACCACUAUUAUUCCCAGAGAACCUCAUUUGAAAGAUAAAACUGCUAGGAAUACUACUGAAACAGAAGUUUGCAUGAAAGACGGAAAUGGUUUGCUGGACUUGCAGCUCACCAGCACCUCUGCCUACUACACCUAUCUCCAGCUGCUCCUCAAGAGCGCUCUCCAGGGGGUCCUCCUCACCUACUGGCUAUACAGAAGACGCACUGUCUGCCGUGAUGGGAAGAGCACCCAACAGAAGGCAGCAUGCAGCGCCAUGGCAUCUCCAGUGUUUGCUGUCACCAGCAGCACUUGCUGAGGAUCUGCCACGCCUGUUGGGCACAGCUCCUGAAGGCUAUGUGCACUCUAUUUUGUCAUUAUCGCCUAAGAGUUUCCCAAGCAGUGGGUAAAAACUGUAGCUCUGUCAUGUGGUGCAGCCCACGGCACCCUGAGCCCCAUUCUAUGGUCCCUACACCCACUCCAGCCAGCCAGGUUCUCAGAGCCUCAAUGUGCACAGCUUGCUGCCUAUGGUCAGUACCACAGAGCCUGUGGCCCGGGUCAUCCCCUAGAAGCCUCCACGCUACC